UACGAAGGGGGCUAGCGUUGCUCGGAAUGACUGGGCGUAAAGGGCGCGUAGGCGGUUCGUACAGUCAGACGUGAAAUUCCCGGGCUCAACCUGGGGGCUGCGUUUGAUACGUACGGGCUUGAGUUCGGAAGAGGGUCGUGGAAUUCCCAGUGUAGAGGUGAAAUUCGUAGAUAUUGGGAAGAACACCAGUGGCGAAGGCGGCUCACUGGACCGACACUGACGCUGAGGCGCGAAAGCGUGGGGAGCAAACAGG
rnacentral:rRNA from 1 species